rnacentral:rRNA from 1 species
AGGUGCCCCGCUUGCGGUCGGUUUACAGGUGGUGCAUGGUUGUCGUCAGCUCGUGUCGUGAGAUGUUGGGUUAAGUCCCGCAACGAGCGCAACCCUCGUUCUAUGUUGCCAGCACGUGAUGGUGGGGACUCAUAGGAGACUGCCGGGGUCAACUCGGAGGAAGGUGGGGACGACGUCAAAUCAUCAUGCCCCUUAUGUCUUGGGCUUCACGCAUGCUACAAUGGCCGGUACAAAGGGUUGCGAUACUGUGAGGUGGAGCUAAUCCCAAAAAGCCGGUCUCAGUUCGGAUUGGGGUCUGCAACUCGACCCCAUGAAGUCGGAGUCGCUAGUAAUCGCAGAUCAGCAACGCUGCGGUGAAUACGUUCCCGGGUCU